CUACAGAGGGUGCGAGCGUUAAUCGGAAUUACUGGGCGUAAAGCGCGCGUAGGCGGCUUUGCAAGUCGGGUGUGUAAAAUCCCCAGGCUUAACCUGGGAACUGCAUUUCGAGACUGCAUUGCUAGAGUAUGGGAGAGGGAAGUGGAAUUUCCGGUGUAAGCGGUGAAAUGCGUAGAUAUCUGGAGGAACACCGGUGGCGAAAGCGCGAGACUGGGCCGUAACUGACGCUGAGGAACGAA
rnacentral:rRNA from 1 species